AACGCAUAUUGCGCCCUUUAGUAUUCUGAAGGGCAUGCCUGUCCGAGCGUCAUUAUCAACCAUCAAGCUUGGCUUGCUGUUGGACCAUGUGUAUGCCCGGUGGUUGGUAAUAGCAGGUCUUCAAGGUAGUGGCGGUGUCGUGGUGGACCCCGGAUACAACGAGCUUUCUACAGCACGUAUCAAGGUGGCCCCCGGACCAGCCUCACCGGAAUUUCAAAUCUCAAGGUUGACCUCGGAUCAGGUAGGAGUACCCGCUGAACUUAA
rnacentral:misc_RNA from 1 species